rnacentral:lncRNA from 1 species
CACAGAACUGUCUGAAACAAUCUCCCUGCUGGAAAAGUUGAAGAAUACAUUAAUCAGACCAGCCAUUCUCAAGAAGGGCCAUAUGGCUCGGGGAGGGGGGGAACGGGAUCCUGGCACAUAUGAAGGGGGCCACAGUUGGAAACAAUUCUUCACACACCACCUUAUAAGGUUCAUCAUGUGACAUAUGUAUAUUGAUUCAGCUUGUAUUUCUUUCAGGCAGUGUUUAUGUCAAAAAAGAGAGAGAGAGAGAGAGAGAGAGAGAAUGAUUGCUUAAGACUCAAAUACCCAGCUCAUACAACAGAACUACAGGGCCAAGCAGAUGCCCAGAAGUUUGUUUCUAAAUGUAUUCCAUAUCGGAGGUUCUCCCAGCACAUUGUGGUGUAUUUCGGACUUCAACUUCCAUAUUUGCUACGGGCCAGCUUCAGCCCAGUGCUCCUAAAAGCAGCUUUUCUGCAGUUAUUCCACCAGAACAACAGAAAGAAGCAGGGAGAACCUCUUGAGAUGCUCAUGAUCCCCUGGCAAUUCUUGCGCCUGUUUCUCCUUGCUGGCACUGGAGCAGAGACAUGCUGUUUUGUUUAAAAUGUUCACAUUCUUCCCUGGGCCAUUUCCCCAUUGGCCGGAUGGGGCCAUCCUUCCUGCUGUGGCUGCUGAUGUCAGACACACGCUCCCACCCUGCUUAAGGUUGCUGCUGCUGCUGGUGGUGGUGCAGCUGCAGAGACUUCUCAGCACGCCCAGCUACAAACCCGACGUAUACAGGCACACACAGAGAGGGAGAGAGAGAGAGAGCUCUGGUGGGGAAACCCAGCCCCCAUGAAUGAUCAAAGGUGGGAGGAAAAACCGAGGCACACCCUGUCUUUCCCCCUGAUCGCGUUAACCACCUCUCCACCGACAGUGAGGCGGAGAGCGGGCGAGCUUUGUUGACCAGCCGGGGAAGGAAACGUUAUAAACCCUUUGUCUUUUGGAAGUCAGCAUCUCCUCCUUGCUCUUUGCCGAUCCAGUGCGUGACGCCGCCGCCGCCGCCGCCACUGGACUCGCACCGCUGGUGACAUUAACGUUGUGGACUGCCUGCUCCAGCUAUUUUUACUGGUGGUUUCCUCUCCCCCCCCCUCCGAUCCCUCAUUCGCCCCCUCCGUCUGUCGAUCUAAGAAUGUCUUGAUGCAACUGCAAGGAAAUCACAAAUUUCAAAGCCUUUCUCGCGGAUGCCUUUGAAUUCACAAUGAGAGCGUUUUGUGCUUGAGACUCCUUUGUGUGGGUGAAAAAAAAAAUCACAUGAUCUCAAUUUGAAGCAGAAGAAACUGGGUGAUAGAAGAAAUUGUGUUUUUUCCCCCCUUUUGCUGGGUCAGCUUUCUGGAUGGUAGCAGUGGCAGAUCCUACAUAUCUUGCCGAGUACCCCGCAUACUGUAGAACUUGGAGAUAUUAAUAUUUUUUUAUUUUUUGCUACUGUCAGGGUGGACUGUGAUCACGUUUCUCCUAAACUGCUGAUUUGCAUUAAAUGUGCAGGAAUAUGCUCAUGAAGGAGUACCGGAUCUGUAUGCCUCUGACAGUUGAAGAGGUAAGUGUACUGGCUAAUAAUACUUAAUGCUCCGUUUAACUGUUUCUUUCCCUUAUAUGACUAAAGGUGCAGUUCUACAUUGACGUAUCAUGUUAUGGAGUGCAUUUUAUUAGGUUCUUUUUUUCCGAAUCCUCGUUUGGGAAACAAUCGUUUCCUUGCAACAGAAAGACUGCACGACACCGAAAGUAAAUGUACUCAUUUACUGUACUCUGUUCUCAGAGUCUGGGUUGGCUAUAGAGCUUGUUAAAAAGCACACACGCAGACGUAAACAUGUGCACACACUUUUAAUAGGGUUGAUUUGUGCUCUGAUCAAUACAGCAAGAAUUUAUCCACACAUCCACAUGAACAAAAAUAGAGGCGUUUGUAAAGAUACCCUGUUCUUAAAAUAUGGCUCUAAAAUAUUAUUUAAAUUCUGUCAUUUGAAUAUGUAGUAGCACAUAGGUAAUGUGUUUGUGAGUGAGCUUGCUGUGUUAAUUGUAUAGAUAACCUGAUAAUUCUAUUCUGUUUUACAAAAAUGAUGUGUACUUUAAUUUAUGUGUGCUAUACUAGAUAGCCACACUGUAGUCUGUAUGUUGACAUUAAAUGGUAAAGAAACGGGCAGCACUGUAUGGUAUUACGUAUAUUUACUGUGAUAUUUUUAUGUACGGAAUGCAAAAAAUUCCAUUAUGGUAUCAGCUGUAGUUUCAGUGAAUGUCUUAAUAGUUACUGUUUCAGUAUACAGUUUCCAUAUUGUACAAAUACAAUGAACCUAACUUACCCAUUGUCUGUUUGUUUGUUUGCUUCAGCAAGUGGAGAGGUUGACUGUGCCUCAAUUGUCAGAUAUGAAUCAGAAAAAAAUUAAAGUGAUAGAUGCUGCUUUAAUGUCAAUGCAAUCAAUAUCAUAAAAGUUUCAUUUCUGAGUAUCUCCUGGUAAUGCGCAAAUACGUUCAGUUUUACAGUAUUUUAUGUUAAAAACACCUUAGCCCACAAGGGGGAGCUUUGGGGAUAUUUUUCUGUCCAGCUUUGUUCCUCUUUUUCUGUUCUUGAUACAGAUAUAUAAAUGGUGGUAAGAACACCUCAAUGUAUAUUUUCGAAUUAAAUGUCAAACAUAUCAUUGUACUGAUUUUGGAAAUCCUGGUGUAAUGGUUAUAUUGUAAUGGUUAUAUUGUUUCAAGGCAAGUAAUAAGAGAUAUAAUACCAGUAGUAGUUUUAAAGACAUUGGCUUGGAAUCCUGUUGCUUUGAAUAGUAAAUUGCAGCUAGAGUAGGUCCAUUAACCUAACGGGGAUGCAAGGCAAGUAAUAAGAGAUAUAAUACAGUACCAGUAGUAGUUUUAAAGACAUUGGCUGAAACCCUGUUGCUUUGAAUAGUAAAUUGCAACUAGAGUAGGUCCAUUAACCUAACGGGGAUUUGGUGAGUCAGCUCUUCUGAAAUUUCCAUUGAUUCAAUCGGCCUACUUCGUUGCAGCUUACUAUGUUAAGCAACAGGCUUUCAGCUGUUAGUGCCUGCUUUGAACAAAACGAGGAAACAGUAAUGCAGAUAUGAGUUUCCCAAACUGUUCUGUAUCCAUUUCUGUAUUUUGGUUACCAACAAUAUCAUGCAUCUGGAGAUACUGUGCAUCUUUGGGAUGUGAAGUAGCAAGUUGCAGUGCUGCCUGUUCAAUGUGUGCAGUUGGUUGGUUAUGUUUCCUUCAGCAGCCCCUUGCAUUCUUCAGCCUGCCCACCACACCUGCCAGACAAACAGUCUAAUUUUUAAAGGACCUUUUCAAAUUAUUCCACAGAAAUCACUAGUUCACAAACAACAACAAAAAGAGAAUUAACCUGUCUCCUCAUUUGCAUCUGUAUUGGCCGUUUGUGGAAAGAUGUCAGCUUUAAAGAAUCCCCUUCUGUUUCCAGAAGUUUUUCAGCCUAGUUGCCUGGCGGCAGUGCUUGCUUAUCAUAGGCAGCCAACAAUUCUGAUGUAAAUGAAAUUUCUGGAUCACUGGGAAUAAAAAUGUAAGCAUCUAAUCA